CCUACGGGCGGCAGCAGUGGGGAAUAUUGGGCAAUGGGCGCAAGCCUGACCCAGCAACGCCGCGUGAAGGAAGAAGGCUUUCGGGUUGUAAACUUCUUUUCUCAGGGACGAAGCAAGUGACGGUACCUGAGGAAUAAGCCACGGCUAACUACGUGCCAGCAGCCGCGGUAAUACGGAGGGGGCAAGCGUUAUCCGGAUUUACUGGGUGUAAAGGGGGUGUAGGCGGGGACGCAAGUCAGAUGUGAAAACCACGGGCUCAACCUGUGGACUGCAUUUGAAACUGUGUUUCUUGAGUACUGGAGAGGCAGACGGAAUACCUAGUGUAGCGGUGAAAUGCGUAGAUAUUAGGAGGAACACCAGUGGCGAAGGCGGUCUGCUGGACAGCAACUGACGCUGAGGCGCGAAAGCGUGGGGAGCAAACAGGAUUAGAUACCCCUGUAGUC
rnacentral:rRNA from 1 species